rnacentral:hammerhead_ribozyme from 1 species
CUACUACUGAAGAGUCCCAAAUAAGGGCGAAACAGAAGUCCAGUAU